rnacentral:lncRNA from 1 species
GGAGACCGCGGCGGACGGUGGGGAGAGCGCGCGCGCGUCGAUCUGAUUUCAGGCCUUUGUUGCCGGAGCCUCGUGCCGAUGGGUUAAUGGGGCAGAAGAGAUCGGUGAAGGGCGACAGAAGCGGCCUUUGAAAGAGGGUGUCAGCGCGGGGCAGCGAGACAAAGGCCAAAACACACACGGGCGGAGAGAGACAGAUGGGGACGGGCGAGGGAAAACAAUUAGGCCGCAAGUGCGGGGGCGGGGCGCGGCUCCAUCGUUUUCCAGUUAACCAGGCCUGGCCGGCGCGGGCCCCACGCCCCAGGCUGGAGCGGUGCCGAAGCGCAGAGCAGACCGGCUUCUGCUGCGUGCGCGAGUCCUGCACCCCGGCCUGCACCCCGCCCUGACCCCUCCACUCCGUGCAGGGGGUGGGGGCAGAAGGGGGGCAGGGGAGAGGGAGGGAGGGAUGGAUGGAUGGAUGAGUGAGUGAGUGAAUGAAUGAAUGAAUGAGUGAAUGAAUGAAUGAAUGGAUGGAUGAAUCCCCCUGCCUGUAAAUAACAGAAGAGCUGCGUCCCGGUGCCCGGGGUUAGAGCGGAAGGAGGGGCAGGGGAGAGGGAGGGAUGGAUGGAUGGAUGAGUGAGUGAGUGAGUGAAUGAAUGAAUGGAUGAAUGAAUGAAUCCCCCUGCCCGUAAAUAACAGAAGAGCUGCGUCCCGGUGCCCGGGGUGGGGGCAGAAGGAGGGGCAGGGGAGAGGGAGGGAUGGAUGAGUGAAUGAGUGAAUGAAUGAAUGAAUGGAUGGAUGAAUGAAUGAAUCCCCUUGACAGUAAAUAACAGAAGAGCUGCGUCCCGGUGCCUGGAGUGGCGGCAGAAGGAGGGGCAGGAGAGAGGGAGGGAGGGAGGGGUGGAUGAGUGAGUGAGUGAAUGAGUGAAUGAAUGGAUGAAUGAAUGAAUGAAUCCCCCUGCCCGUAAAUAACAAGAGCUGCGUCCUGGUGGCUGACCGUAGCCACCCCGUGUCUCCCUGCAGGAUGACCUGAGAGCGUUUCCUGGACGCCGCACAGCCCCUCUCCCGGCCUCCACCAUCGGGGCCGCUCACCCUCUGGGGACUCUGGCCCCGGGACCCCGGGAUCCAGGCCGGGUCCGCGCGGCUCCGGCCCCGAGCGCGCUGUCCAGGCUCGAUCCCCACCAGGCGGCGCUGCGCCCCUCCGAGCCCGCCCGGCCGCGCUCUGCAAACCGAUGCUGUUUAAUUAACGUGCAAAUUGAGUAGAUUAAAUGACUCUAAAUAAUUAGCCACAGAUCCUAUAAACAGGAUAACGUAUUUAAUUAAGCAGCGAUAUAGAUUUUGGAAACUGUUAAUGUAUUUUUAGAAUGGCAGCUCAGAUCCUUCACUUUUCCCCCCUAACUUCAAACAUGUAACUACAGCCCUCCGAACGUGGAUAAAUAUCUGGAAACAAGAUUACGCCUGUUAACUUCAACUAAUAGAAAUGUUGGUUUAACAGGAACUUGCACGGCUGCGGCGCCGGCACCGCUGCAGCCCGCGUGGCCCGGGCCUGGCCGGUUCUGUUUGGCUUUGUUGGUGGUGCGCGUGGUCUGGCGCCGGGGCCCCCAGGCCUGGGCAGAGAGGGUCAGAACAUACAGGAGGAAGGGGAAGGGAGAAGUCCGAACAACGUGAGCCGCCGGCCCAUCUGAGGAUUAAAAGGAGCCAUAACAAAGAGUGUUAACCCUUCGCAGUCUUCCGGCUCCCCAGACUCCGAGGGCAGAGCUGCCCCUGGCCUGGGGGCACCAAUAGGGCACCGGUGACCAGGACUGCGGAUCCCCUGGACCUCUGAGGCAGCGGGAGAGGGGCCUGAGGUGUCGGGGAAAGUGUCCACGGGCUGUCCUCUGGCGAAGAGGGGUGUUGGGAGGAGGGACGCUGACUGCUGCCCAGUGGGCUGGCACAAUGAGGUGGCCGCCCCAGACUUCCACAGAUGGGGCUCUCAGUGCCCCUUCUCCUCCUGGCCACAUUCUGCCACUGGACCACAGCUGAGUAGCUGGGAGGCUCCAGUCCCUCUGAGCUGGCAAGGCCCCACCACAAACACAAAGCCGGCCACAUCCCUCAGGCCCCUGCCUGCCUCCCUGCCCUGGGAGACCUGUACCCCCACCUCGGCCUGGGUCCGUGGGACCCGCUUUGGCCUGCACCCCACCUGGAGGCCUGGGGCUACCAUCUUGGUGGUGUGGGUGAAAGAAGCCACCUGGAUCCCGACCGGGGAACUUAGCCCAAGGUGACUUGGGCUCUGGCCGUCUAGUGGGGAGGCGAGGCUGUUACAAAUGGCUCACAGGAGGGUAACGCGGCGCAGAUUGAAUUUAUAAAAUACAAAGCAACCAC